GGACACAAUAGAAUGUCCAAGAAGGGACAGCUGAUGUCAUGGCUGUGAAGAGACACCAUGACAAAGGGAACUUAUAGAAGAGACAGUUUAUUGGGGCUUACAGUUUCAAGGAUUCUGAGUCUAUGAUUAUCAUGCUGAGGUACAUGGCAGCAGCAGGUAUAAGUAGCCCUGCCACUCGAAGUCACGUGGAAGAGCUGACAAGAGGAGCCAAUACCCUUCAGAGAAACUGUACCAAAGGAUUCAUGUGUUCCCGCGUAUUCUUGCUGGCGAGAGGUCGCGCGGGACAUCUGGUGCCGAAACCCGGAAGAAACGCCACACCAUCGCCAGGCGCCAAGAGGGGGGUCUUCCGUCUGCGGAAGGAAUCCAGAACUGUAGUGUUUAAAAGGAAUUGGGUUUCAACACGUUGAUGGACUAGUCCAGGAAUUGAGACAAUCCAUCGUCCAUAUCAACUCCACUCGAGUGGAUAGUCACCGUGAAAGUGGUGGGAAAGGGAAAAUCCUACCUCUCUGCUGACACCAUCUGGUUUUUUCCCUCUUUGUCUAUUGUCUGUCCUUGGUGCACCAAGCUGUCCCUAUAUGUCAUUUUAUGUCUGUG
rnacentral:lncRNA from 1 species